UAAGUCCUCUACAUGGUAAAGGCUAGCGACCAGCCAUGACCCCGAGUCAUGCGUCGGCCAUCCGUGAGGAUGGCGGCGAAGCGUUGACAGGGGGUGUGCAGGCCGGGCUAUUGAGCUCCGAAAUCACCUCAUCCGGGUUGCCGACCUUGUGGUCUGAGGGGGAAGGCAUCACGUUGUGCCGCACUACUCGCAAGUGGCCCAGCGGACCCGCGGAGUCGAAGAACC
rfam:Delta proteobacterium MLMS-1 ctg928, whole genome shotgun sequence.